GGGCCGGUAGCUCAGUUGGUUAGAGCGCACGACUGAUAAUCGUGAGGUCGGAGGUUCAAAUCCUCCUCGGCCCA
rnacentral:tRNA from 1 species